rnacentral:rRNA from 1 species
CUAUGUGUUGUUGGGUAGGGGAGCGUUCUGUAAGCCUGUGAAGGUGUGCUGUGAGGUAUGCUGGAGGUAUCAGAAGUGCGAAUGCUGACAUAAGUAACGAUAAAGCGGGUGAAAAGCCCGCUCGCCGGAAGACCAAGGGUUCCUGUCCAACGUUAAUCGGGGCAGGGUGAGUCGACCCCUAAGGCGAGGCCGAAAGGCGUAGUCGAUGGGAAACAGGUUAAUAUUCCUGUACUUGGUGUUACUGCGAAGGGGGGACGGAGAAGGCUAUGUUGGCCGGGCGACGGUUGUCCCGGUUUAAGCGUGUAGGCUGGUUUUCCAGGCAAAUCCGGAAAAUCAAGGCUGAGGCGUGAUGACGAGGCACUACGGUGCUGAAGCAACAAAUGCCCUGCUUCCAGGAAAAGCCUCUAAGCAUCAGGUAACAUCAAAUCGUACCCCAAACCGACACAGGUGGUCAGGUAGAGAAUACCAAGGCGCUUGAGAGAACUCGGGUGAAGGAACUAGGCAAAAUGGUGCCGUAACUUCGGGAGAAGGCACGCUGAUAUGUAGGUGAAGUCCCUUGCGGAUGGAGCUGAAAUCAGUCGAAGAUACCAGCUGGCUGCAACUGUUUAUUAAAAACACAGCACUGUGCAAACACGAAAGUGGACGUAUACGGUGUGACGCCUGCCCGGUGCCGGAAGGUUAAUUGAUGGGGUUAGCGGUAACGCGAAGCUCUUGAUCGAAGCCCCGGUAAACGGCGGCCGUAACUAUAACGGUCCUAAGGUAGCGAAAUUCCUUGUCGGGUAAGUUCCGACCUGCACGAAUGGCGUAAUGAUGGCCAGGCUGUCUCCACCCGAGACUCAGUGAAAUUGAACUCGCUGUGAAGAUGCAGUGUACCCGCGGCAAGACGGAAAGACCCCGUGAACCUUUACUAUAGCUUGACACUGAACAUUGAGCCUUGAUGUGUAGGAUAGGUGGGAGGCUUUGAAGUGUGGACGCCAGUCUGCAUGGAGCCGACCUUGAAAUACCACCCUUUAAUGUUUGAUGUUCUAACGUUGGCCCCUGAUCGGGGUUGCGGACAGUGUCUGGUGGGUAGUUUGACUGGGGCGGUCUCCUCCUAAAGAGUAACGGAGGAGCACGAAGGUUGGCUAAUCCUGGUCGGACAUCAGGAGGUUAGUGCAAUGGCAUAAGCCAGCUUGACUGCGAGCGUGACGGCGCGAGCAGGUGCGAAAGCAGGUCAUAGUGAUCCGGUGGUUCUGAAUGGAAGGGCCAUCGCUCAACGGAUAAAAGGUACUCCGGGGAUAACAGGCUGAUACCGCCCAAGAGUUCAUAUCGACGGCGGUGUUUGGCACCUCGAUGUCGGCUCAUCACAUCCUGGGGCUGAAGUAGGUCCCAAGGGUAUGGCUGUUCGCCAUUUAAAGUGGUACGCGAGCUGGGUUUAGAACGUCGUGAGACAGUUCGGUCCCUAUCUGCCGUGGGCGCUGGAGAACUGAGGGGGGCUGCUCCUAGUACGAGAGGACCGGAGUGGACGCAUCACUGGUGUUCGGGUUGUCAUGCCAAUGGCACUGCCCGGUAGCUAAAUGCGGAAGAGAUAAGUGCUGAAAGCAUCUAAGCACGAAACUUGCCCCGAGAUGAGUUCUCCCUGACUCCUUGAGAGUCCUGAAGGAACGUUGAAGACGACGACGUUGAUAGGCCGGGUGUGUAAGCGCAGCGAUGCGUUGAGCUAACCGGUACUAAUGAACCGUGAGGCUUAACCUUACAAC